UACAGAGGGUGCAAGCGUUAAUCGGAAUUACUGGGCGUAAAGCGCGCGUAGGUGGUUCGUUAAGUUGGAUGUGAAAGCCCCGGGCUCAACCUGGGAACUGCAUCCAAAACUGGCGAGCUAGAGUACGGUAGAGGGUGGUGGAAUUUCCUGUGUAGCGGUGAAAUGCGUAGAUAUAGGAAGGAACACCAGUGGCGAAGGCGACCACCUGGACUGACACUGAGGUGCGAAAGCGUGGGGAGCAAACAGGAUUAGAUACCCGGGUAGUCC
rnacentral:rRNA from 1 species